AUGAGUCGACCUGAUAGGAUCAACAUCCCCGACGGCAAGUUCUACCUUGGAGAUGCUGGCUAUGCAUGUCGGCCGGGUAUUAUUCCACCCUUCAGGAAAACCAGGUACCAUCUCAACAAGUUCUCUGGUAGGAACUAUCCUAGGACUGCACAUGAGUUGUUUAAUCUCAGACACUCCAGCCUUAGAGUAACUGUUGAGAGGGCAUUUGGAGCUCUGAAGAAUAGGUUUAAGAUCUUGGAUCAGAAGCCAUUCCACCCAUACUCCACUCAGGUUAAUCUUGUUCUUGCUUGUUGCAUUCUGCAUAACUAG
rnacentral:rRNA from 1 species